CCUACGGGUGACAGCAGUGGGGAAUAUUGCACAAUGGGGGAAACCCUGAUGCAGCGACGCCGCGUGAAGGAAGAAGUAUUUCGGUAUGUAAACUUCUAUCAGCAGGGAAGAAAAUGACGGUACCUGACUAAGAAGCCCCGGCUAACUACGUGCCAGCAGCCGCGGUAAUACGUAGGGGGCAAGCGUUAUGCGGAUUUACUGGGUGUAAAGGGAGCGUAGGCGGUUUAGCAAGUCAGAAGUGAAAGCCCGGGGCUCAACCCCGGGACUGCUUUUGAAACUGUUGAACUAGAGUGCAGGAGAGGUAAGUGGAAUUCCUAGUGUAGCGGUGAAAUGCGUAGAUAUUAGGAGGAACACCAGUGGCGAAGGCGGCUUACUGGACUGUAAAUGACGCUGAGGCUCGAAAGCGUGGGGAGCAAACAGGAUUAGAUACCCGAGUAGUC
rnacentral:rRNA from 1 species